rnacentral:rRNA from 1 species
UAGGGAAUAUUGGUAAUGGGCGAAAGCCUGAACCAGCAACGCCGCGUGUGCGAUGAAGGCCUUCGGGUUGUAAAGCACUUUUUGAGGGGAUGAGGAAGGACAGUACCCUCAGAAUAAGUCUCGGCUAACUACGUGCCAGCAGCCGCGGUAACACGUAGGAGACUAGCGUUAUCCGGAUUUACUGGGCGUAAAGCGCGUGCAGGUGGCUCGGAAAGUUCGAUGUGAAAGCUCCCGGCUUAACUGGGAGAGGUCGUUGAGUACUUUCG